rnacentral:rRNA from 1 species
GGUUAAGCGACUAAGCGUACACGGUGGAUGCCCUGGCAGUCAGAGGCGAUGAAGGACGUGCUAAUCUGCGAUAAGCGUCGGUAAGGUGAUAUGAACCGUUAUAACCGGCGAUUUCCGAAUGGGGAAACCCAGUGUGAUUCGUCACACUAUCAUUAACUGAAUCCAUAGGUUAAUGAGGCGAACCGGGGGAACUGAAACAUCUAAGUACCCCGAGGAAAAGAAAUCAACCGAGAUUCCCCCAGUAGCGGCGAGCGAACGGGGAGGAGCCCAGAGCCUGAAUCAGUGUGUGUGUUAGUGGAAGCGUCUGGAAAGGCGCGCGAUACAGGGUGACAGCCCCGUACACAAAAAUGCACAUGCUGUGAGCUCGAUGAGUAGGGCGGGACACGUGGUAUCCUGUCUGAAUAUGGGGGGACCAUCCUCCAAGGCUAAAUACUCCUGACUGACCGAUAGUGAACCAGUACCGUGAGGGAAAGGCGAAAAGAACCCCGGCGAGGGGAGUGAAAAAGAACCUGAAACCGUGUACGUACAAGCAGUGGGAGCCUCUUUAUGGGGUGACUGCGUACCUUUUGUAUAAUGGGUCAGCGACUUAUAUUCUGUAGCAAGGUUAACCGAAUAGGGGAGCCGAAGGGAAACCGAGUCUUAACUGGGCGUUAAGUUGCAGGGUAUAGACCCGAAACCCGGUGAUCUAGCCAUGGGCAGGUUGAAGGUUGGGUAACACUAACUGGAGGACCGAACCGACUAAUGUUGAAAAAUUAGCGGAUGACUUGUGGCUGGGGGUGAAAGGCCAAUCAAACCGGGAGAUAGCUGGUUCUCCCCGAAAGCUAUUUAGGUAGCGCCUCGUGAAUUCAUCUCCGGGGGUAGAGCACUGUUUCGGCAAGGGGGUCAUCCCGACUUACCAACCCGAUGCAAACUGCGAAUACCGGAGAAUGUUAUCACGGGAGACACACGGCGGGUGCUAACGUCCGUCGUGAAGAGGGAAACAACCCAGACCGCCAGCUAAGGUCCCAAAGUCAUGGUUAAGUGGGAAACGAUGUGGGAAGGCCCAGACAGCCAGGAUGUUGGCUUAGAAGCAGCCAUCAUUUAAAGAAAGCGUAAUAGCUCACUGGUCGAGUCGGCCUGCGCGGAAGAUGUAACGGGGCUAAACCAUGCACCGAAGCUGCGGCAGCGACGCUUAUGCGUUGUUGGGUAGGGGAGCGUUCUGUAAGCCUGUGAAGGUGUGCUGUGAGGCAUGCUGGAGGUAUCAGAAGUGCGAAUGCUGACAUAAGUAACGAUAAAGCGGGUGAAAAACCCGCUCGCCGGAAGACCAAGGGUUCCUGUCCAACGUUAAUCGGGGCAGGGUGAGUCGACCCCUAAGGCGAGGCCGAAAGGCGUAGUCGAUGGGAAACAGGUUAAUAUUCCUGUACUUGGUGUUACUGCGAAGGGGGGACGGAGAAGGCUAUGUUGGCCGGGCGACGGUUGUCCCGGUUUAAGCGUGUAGGCUGGUUUUCCAGGCAAAUCCGGAAAAUCAAGGCUGAGGCGUGAUGACGAGGCACUACGGUGCUGAAGCAACAAAUGCCCUGCUUCCAGGAAAAGCCUCUAAGCAUCAGGUAACAUCAAAUCGUACCCCAAACCGACACAGGUGGUCAGGUAGAGAAUACCAAGGCGCUUGAGAGAACUCGGGUGAAGGAACUAGGCAAAAUGGUGCCGUAACUUCGGGAGAAGGCACGCUGAUAUGUAGGUGAAGCGACUUGCUCGUGGAGCUGAAAUCAGUCGAAGAUACCAGCUGGCUGCAACUGUUUAUUAAAAACACAGCACUGUGCAAACACGAAAGUGGACGUAUACGGUGUGACGCCUGCCCGGUGCCGGAAGGUUAAUUGAUGGGGUUAGCGCAAGCGAAGCUCUUGAUCGAAGCCCCGGUAAACGGCGGCCGUAACUAUAACGGUCCUAAGGUAGCGAAAUUCCUUGUCGGGUAAGUUCCGACCUGCACGAAUGGCGUAAUGAUGGCCAGGCUGUCUCCACCCGAGACUCAGUGAAAUUGAACUCGCUGUGAAGAUGCAGUGUACCCGCGGCAAGACGGAAAGACCCCGUGAACCUUUACUAUAGCUUGACACUGAACAUUGAGCCUUGAUGUGUAGGAUAGGUGGGAGGCUUAGAAGUGUGGACGCCAGUCUGCAUGGAGCCGACCUUGAAAUACCACCCUUUAAUGUUUGAUGUUCUAACGUUGACCCGUGAUCCGGGUUGCGGACAGUGUCUGGUGGGUAGUUUGACUGGGGCGGUCUCCUCCUAAAGAGUAACGGAGGAGCACGAAGGUUGGCUAAUCCUGGUCGGACAUCAGGAGGUUAGUGCAAUGGCAUAAGCCAGCUUGACUGCGAGCGUGACGGCGCGAGCAGGUGCGAAAGCAGGUCAUAGUGAUCCGGUGGUUCUGAAUGGAAGGGCCAUCGCUCAACGGAUAAAAGGUACUCCGGGGAUAACAGGCUGAUACCGCCCAAGAGUUCAUAUCGACGGCGGUGUUUGGCACCUCGAUGUCGGCUCAUCACAUCCUGGGGCUGAAGUAGGUCCCAAGGGUAUGGCUGUUCGCCAUUUAAAGUGGUACGCGAGCUGGGUUUAGAACGUCGUGAGACAGUUCGGUCCCUAUCUGCCGUGGGCGCUGGAGAACUGAGGGGGGCUGCUCCUAGUACGAGAGGACCGGAGUGGACGCAUCACUGGUGUUCGGGUUGUCAUGCCAAUGGCACUGCCCGGUAGCUAAAUGCGGAAGAGAUAAGUGCUGAAAGCAUCUAAGCACGAAACUUGCCCCGAGAUGAGUUCUCCCUGACUCCUUGAGAGUCCUGAAGGAACGUUGAAGACGACGACGUUGAUAGGCCGGGUGUGUAAGCGCAGCGAUGCGUUGAGCUAACCGGUACUAAUGAACCGUGAGGCUUAACCUU